GGGGCCGUAGGGUAGCUUGGUCUAUCCUCCUACCUUGGGGUGGUAGUGACCUGAGUUCAAAUCUCGGCGGCCCCACCA
rnacentral:tRNA from 2 species